AGUGAACGCUGGCGGUAGGCCUAACACAUGCAAGUCGAACGGCAGCACAGUAAGAGCUUGCUCUUACGGGUGGCGAGUGGCGGACGGGUGAGGAAUACAUCGGAAUCUACUUUUUCGUGGGGGAUAACGUAGGGAAACUUACGCUAAUACCGCAUACGACCUACGGGUGAAAGCAGGGGAUCUUCGGACCUUGCGCGAUUGAAUGAGCCGAUGUCGGAUUAGCGAGUUGGCGGGGUAAAGGCCCACCAAGGCGACGAUCCGUAUCUGGUUUGAGAGGAUGAUCAGCCACACUGGAACUGAGACACGGUCCAGACUCCUACGGGAGGCAGCAGUGGGGAAUAUUGGACAAUGGGCGCAAGCCUGAUCCAGCCAUACCGCGUGGGUGAAGAAGGCCUUCGGGUUGUAAAGCCCUUUUGUUGGGAAAGAAAAGCAGCAGGUUAAUACCCCGCUGUUCUGACGGUACCCAAAGAAUAAGCACCGGCUAACUUCGUG
rnacentral:rRNA from 1 species